UACAUCAGUUUUCUGAUACUUAAGCAACCAACCCGGAACUGUUUCUCUCAUUAGUAAGCGAGAUUUUGGGUUUCAUCCUAAUUAACCUGGUACAACAGCAUCCUUCCGCAAUGAAGCUAUUAGCUUACAUACUUCUGUUUGCACUUCUUGCCCUGUCGGGAAAGAUGGUAGCGGCCAAGCUUGAAAGCUAUGAUAAUCUGAAACCGCACGAGAACUUGGUUCGUCGAUGCACUGGUGCUCCUCCGCGUGAAGACGGGCAAUAAUUCGCCUCGAGAAUUUUCUAACACUGAAUUACUUCACGAUACAAGCAGCCAGAUUGAUUUGACCAACGUCAGGCCAACGUUUGAAUUGACAGUAAAGUUUCAUUAAAUAAAGUUAUUGGAAUUUUUAAUUAUUUUUUUUCAUUUAAAUAAUUGCUAGUACAAUGUAGGCUCCAUGAAUUUAAAAAUACUGUUGAUUUUACUAUUUUCAAUCUUUAUUUCACUUUCAGAGUCUAAAACAUUAACCAGAUAUGAGCAGUACAUUGACAUGUGUCAGUUGAGAAUACUUUGUGGUCGAUAACAAUUUUGCAGGGUUUUGCUAUCAAGCGUUUAGCUCUGCGCCAUUGGUUACUCGCGACUGCAUCUCGCUUAUCAACAAUUAGCAAGUGAGUUGUUAUCUUCUAUCUUAUGUGAACGAUUGUUUAUUCAUCUGUGUUGUUUAACUAAAUUUCAUUCAACAUUGUUUAACUAAACAUGAGCUUUAUUUUCCACUACUCAUUCGUCAAAGAAAAUCACCUUUCAACCGAAACUAUUCGUAACGAAAACAAAUAUAUAAUCAAUUCCGAACACAACUGCUAUACCUGCUUCAGUUUUCUGCUACUUAAGCAACCAACAUUUCUGUUCUCUGGUACUGGAACUGUUUCAGAAUGAAAUUAUUUGCUGAGCUACUUCUUUUUGCAUCACUCGUCCUGUUAGGAUUAGUGAGUGCGGAAAUGGUUACAAAAACACCCUGCCUAGAACCAUGCAAAGACUUGGAUACUCCUUAUCUGCGAAUAAAGCAUUUGUCGAGUAACUAGACCAAAAUCGCCCGAUUGUACUUAUUUUAGUGUGUGCUUAAUUCAGACAUGUAUAUUUUUACACUAUCCCACAUACAUUAAAGCAGAAAAAGAGCGGGUUAGAGAUAGUUAGAGAGAAAGAGAAUGAGUUAGAAAGAAAGAGAAAGCAAGGAAAAUGAAUAUAGAGUUAUCUGCUCAUUUUUAAACGUCAAGAUCAUUCUUAACGAUCAAAACCUUAAAGGUACUAAACGAAAC